AAGUCGUAACAAGGUUUCCGUAGGUGAACCUGCGGAAGGAUCAUCAUCAAUUUCAUCUCCCAACCCCUCCUAGUAGAGGGGUUGGGAUCCAUGAUAAACCCUUCUGUGCACCGUAACCGUUCACUUUGGCAGGCUUUGGUGGUGAGCGUGAGAGCUCGUCGCCAACCUCGCUGAUUCCCUCCCACCGAGGGUUCCUGCGUGGCGGCCUGCCGGAGUCUUGCAAUUAAAAACGCGUUUUCGAACUCGACUGAAAAUUUCCUUUGAGAAAUCAAAGAACCUAAAACAACUUUCAACAACGGAUCUCUUGGCUCUC
rnacentral:misc_RNA from 1 species